rnacentral:lncRNA from 1 species
GGGUGCUCGACGGCCGGGGCACUUCAUGCUACAGUCGGGAGAAACAUGCCCGGGCUGCUCUGUUCUGUGUUGUUUUUUUUGCAGCCGUUCCUUCGGGAGAGAGCUGAGCCCCCAGAUGCUAAGCAGAGGACGGAUGUGGUUCCAUCUGGUGGACGAGGGCGACUGAGACGCGGUACCGGCUCCUGUGUCGGGGCCCCUGCAGGCCUGGCUCCAGGCCCAGCUCCUCUGCCUGCAAGCUCUGUGAGUGCAAACAGGCUACUGCAUCUAAGACCCAGUUUAAAAAAAAAGGGCGGGGGGGAUUGUGCUCAAUAAGGAGGGUAUUUGGAGAAUUUCGCGCUCUGCUUCCCAUGGAGCAAACCCUCGGGGUAGCAGCUCCUCCGUCACCAGCUGUGGGGAAAGCAUCAGGGCUGCAGGUGGGACCUCGUCACCUGGCUCCCAAGGUGACCAGGGCAGGUAAGCGGGGGAGGAAUGGGUCUCUGUCCUGAAAGCAGCACAGGCUCAGGGAAGGGACGGCGUGAGGGAAGCGCGGCCUCCGCCUCAAGCCUGGACUUCCUCCUGCCGCGGAUGCAGCCGGGCCACCCUGGCGUGGGCUGCAGACCAGAGCCACUGGCCCGGCCCCGUCUCCCUUCAGCCAGGAGGCACGAAAUGGUCUUUGAAAGUUAAAAAAAAAAAAAAAAAGUUAGUGUGAGCAAAAUUUUUAGACAAAAGCCCAAGGGCAUUUCCUCCCUCUAAAUAUCUUUGGCCUAUUUCCUUUUUCUGUACUUUUUGAUCAUGACUCAAAGCAAGAAGAGAAACUGAAGCUGCCUUGCCCAGCGGCUGGCUUGGGGCGCGGGGCGCGGGGUUCUCCCCUGCCCACCCGGCCUCUCCUCGGCCUCCCCUUGGGCAGCCACUCUGCCCUCCCUGCCCGAGAGAGAGGCCUCGGGAGGAAGGGGCCGUGUCCCACGGAUCCGGAUUCCCUGGAGAGCGCGGCCAGCGUGGCUGCAGGGCUCGGGCCGGUGGCGGUUGCUGAGCUCCCUGCUCUCCCAUGUGAUGGGAAUCUUGAGCCCUCGGAACAUCAGUUUUCCUUUCUGUGAAAUGGGCGGAGGUUGGGGUACGUGCAAAGUAGGGGGCCUACUUCC